GCAGUACUAUAGAGAUUGGCAUCACUGUACAAUUUGAUAUUUUACAGUUCCUCAUUUACAAACGAGGAAGCUGAAACUCAGCUUUUCAAGGGGUUCUUUUCAAGAGUGCCCCAUGGUGGAGCCAGAAGUAGCCACAAUAGAAGACAGCUUCUUGCAGAGAGAAAGUUGCAGCAUUAUUUCUCUGCGUCUUUGAUUCACUGUCUAUAUCAUUGUUCAAAACAACAACAAAAACAGCCAUAUUCCCACUGAGCAUAAUUGUACUCUGAUGGACAAACUUCUGCAGCUUACUAUGCUUUAGGAUUUAUUGGGAGAAAAGGUCUUGUCCUGUUUGGAGUCAUUCCCACUGAAGCUACUCCCUGGAGUCUUUCCCAGCCCUACUUUGAGCCUGUUUACCUUGGUGCUGUUCCUUGCUGAAUAUUCCUGGAUAAAGUCACUCAAUAGGAUGCAAUGCUGCUCACUUCUCAGCAGAGCCAAGA